rfam:Phaeosphaeria nodorum SN15 scaffold_11, whole genome shotgun sequence.
UCCAAUGAUGACGUAAUUUGCGAUUGAGUUCAAUGCCGGACACCCUCGCCGGGGUGUCGUAACGGUGUUGAUACGGUGACAUUUCAUUUCUUACAUAUUCUGAGC